UAACUCCAGGAUCACACCUGGAGAGUUUUUUAGUGCUCUACCAGUCUUGGCAAUGAGAGGAAGAAUCAAGCAGAAGCAUACCCAUUCCAUUCCUAGCUUGGACAGUGGCUAGUGAGUGGAAGACAAUUUGCUACAAAA
rfam:Ornithorhynchus anatinus chromosome X1, whole genome shotgun sequence.